UACGAAGGGUGCAAGCGUUAAUCGGAAUUACUGGGCGUAAAGCGUGCGUAGGCGGUUUCUUAAGUCUGCUGUGAAAGCCCUGGGCUCAACCUGGGAAUGGCGGUGGGAUACUGAGAAGCUGGAGUACGGUAGAGGAAGGUGGAAUUCCCGGUGUAGCGGUGAAAUGCGUAGAUAUCGGAAGGAACACCAGUGGCGAAAGCGGCUCUCUGGGACGGUACUGACGCUGAGACGCGAAAGCGUGGGGAGCAAACAGG
rnacentral:rRNA from 1 species